rnacentral:rRNA from 1 species
UACGGGGGGAGCAAGCGUUGUUCGGAUUUACUGGGCGUAAAGGGCGCGUAGGCGGCUUGACAAGUCAGUUGUGAAAUCUCCGGGCUUAACCCGGAGCGGCCAAGUGAUACUGUCGUGCUAGAGUGCGGAAGGGGCUACUGGAAUUCUCGGUGUAGCGGUGAAAUGCGUAGAUAUCGAGAGGAACACCUGCGGCGAAGGCGGGUAGCUGGGCCGACACUGACGCUGAGGCGCGAAAGCCAGGGGAGCGAACGGG